CCGUGGCACUUAGUACGGCGAGUGAGCGGUAAAAGCUCAAAUUUGAAAUCUGGUACUUUCAGUGCCCGAGUUGUAAUUUGUAGAAUUUGUCUUUGAUUAGGUCCUUGUCUAUGUUCCUUGGAACAGGACGUCAUAGAGGGUGAGAAUCCCGUUUGGCGAGGAUACCUUUUCUCUGUAAGACUUUUUCGAAGAGUCGAGUUGUUUGGGAAUGCAGCUCAAAGUGGGUGGUAAAUUCCAUCUAAAGCUAAAUAUUGGCGAGAGACCGAUAGCGAACAAGUACAGUGAUGGAAAGAUGAAAAGAACUUUGAAAAGAGAGUGAAAAAGUACGUGAAAUUGUUGAAAGGGAAGGGCAUUUGAUCAGACAUGGUGUUUUUUGCAUGCACUCGCCUCUCGUGGGCUUGGGCCUCUCAAAAAUUUCACUGGGCCAACAUCAAUUCUGGCAGUAGGAUAAAUCAUUAAGAAUGUAGCUACCUCGGUAGUGUUAUAGCUUAUUGGAAUACUGCUAGCUGGGAUUGAGGACUGCGCUUCGGCAAGGAUGUUGGCAUAAUGGUUAAAUGCCGCCCGUCUUGAAACCCGAACCA
rnacentral:rRNA from 1 species